rnacentral:siRNA from 1 species
GUGGUCUAGUGGUAGAAUA